rnacentral:rRNA from 1 species
UACAGAGGUCCCAAGCGUUUGUUCGGAUUCACUGGGCGUAAAGGGUGCGCAGGUGGGUUUGCAAGUUCGAUGUGAAGCCCCGGGCUUAACCCGGGAAUGGCAUUGGAUACUGCAGAUCUGGAGGAUCGGAGGGGGGACUGGAAUUCUUGGUGUAGCAGUGAAAGCGUAGAUAUCAAGAGGAACACCAGUGGCGAAGGCGGAGUCCCCUGGACGAUACCUG